UUAUACUGCUUCUAACUGUCUAUUUAAUUAGACAAUACAUGACUAUUUGACCUCAAAUCAGGUAGGACUACCCGCUG
rnacentral:rRNA from 1 species